AUUGAACGCUGGCGGCAGGCCUAACACAUGCAAGUCGGACGGUAGCACAGAGAGCUUGCUCUCGGGUGACGAGUGGCGGACGGGUGAGUAAUGUCUGGGGAUCUGCCCGAUAGAGGGGGAUAACCACUGGAAACGGUGGCUAAUACCGCAUAACGUCGCAAGACCAAAGAGGGGGACCUUCGGGCCUCUCACUAUCGGAUGAACCCAGAUGGGAUUAGCUAGUAGGCGGGGUAACGGCCCACCUAGGCGACGAUCCCUAGCUGGUCUGAGAGGAUGAGCAGCCACACUGGAACUGAGACACGGUCCAGACUCCUACGGGAGGCAGCAGUGGGGAAUAUUGCACAAUGGGCGAAAGCCUGAUGCAGCCAUGCCGCGUGUAUGAAGAAGGCCUUCGGGUUGUAAAGUACUUUCAGCGGGGAGGAAGGCGAUGUGGUUAAUAACCGUAUCGAUUGACGUUACCCGCAGAAGAAGCACCGGCUAACUCCGUGCCAGCCGCCGCCGUAA
rnacentral:rRNA from 1 species